rnacentral:tRNA from 1 species
GAGGGUGUAGCUCAGUGGUAGAGCGCGCGCUCAGCGCGCAUAAGGUCCUGGGUUUGAUCCCAGUACCUCCA